rnacentral:rRNA from 1 species
CGUGUAGGCGGCUGGGUAAGCCGCGUGUGAAAUCCCGGGGCUCAACCCCGGAACGGCACGCGGGACUGCUCGGCUCGAGAAUGGUAGAGGCGAGUGGAAUUCCUGGUGUAGCGGUGGAAUGCGUAGAGAUCAGGAAGAACACCGGUGGCGAAGGCGGCUCGCUGGGCCAUUUCUGACGCUGAGGCGCGAAAGCGUGGGGAGCAAACA